ensembl:lncRNA
AUUUUGCUUUCUUUUAUUAUCAUUUAGGGUUUACAGGGUUGAAAUUUAACAUAUUAUUUCAAAAGAAAAAACAUGUUUAAUGGCAUUAAAACUUUCAAUUAUCUUUUUUUUUUAAGAUUUUAUUUAUUUAUUCAUUAAAGACAUGGAGAGGGAGAGAGAGAGAAAGAGAGAGAGACAGAGAGAGAGAGAGAGAGAGGCAGAGACAUUAUCAGAGGGAGAAGCAGGAUCCCAGCAGGAAGCCUGAUGUAGGACUCGAUCCCGGGGUCCAGGGAUCACACCCUGAGCCGAAGGCAGAGGCUCAACCACUGAGCCACCCAGGCAUCCCUGUCAAUUAUCUUUUUGAAUAUCACUCUAAUAUUGGAUUACUUAAAAUGAAUAGAUAAAAUGAUAGGAAAUACUAUUGUGAAGGUUAAAUAAUCUAUUAUUACUUAUUUCUUACCAAAACAAGCAUAAAAAGUGAAAUUCUUUGUGCAAAACAUAAAAUAUCCCCUCUCCUUUUAAAGAAGCUUCCAUUCUUUGGACUGGAAUUGUCCAUUUUAUUUCUUUUCUCUAUUUUUUUCUUUUCUUGGAGUAUGCAGGACUUAUUUUGCUAGAGUUAUUAAUGUGUCAGCAUUUCCAUCCUUUUUGAGAGGUUUAUAAAUCAGCCAUAAAAAAUGUGAUGCUGGCGUAAACUUGGCAUAUAUUCUUAGCCCAGAAGCAUUAUUUUUUUUCACACUUUUUAAAUGAAAUAGUUUGGCUGCUAUGAACCUACAAAAAGGCGAAAUCUAAAUGUUUUCUGACUCUAUAUGUGGUAUGCCCUUUUCCUAAAAAGAUCUGUUCAACAAAAAGGAAAGGAAAAUGUAGAGACAGUUCAAGAUAACAGCUUUGGGGAAGUCAUUACAAGUUUGCCCUGUCAAAGAUUUCUGUGUUAAUAGCUUCAUGUACACAUCAAUGCAUACAUAAUAAUAACUUUACAACUUGUCUGACUCCCACUUAGGCAGCAAUGGGGAAACAUAUUCAAGAGAGAACAGGCAACCUACAAGCUGGGAUCUGUAAUCAAGACUCUCUUCUGGCUACAGGGCCCAGUAACAGGCCAAGAACUGUUUAUCUGCAGAAGAGAUCAGAGUUUUGCUCCAAAAUCCCAAGGUCCUGUGCGAUAACUCACCUACAAGGACUUCCCAAAGGCUCCAAACAGCAUCUCUGUCCACCACUGGCACUUAAGCCCCAUUGGAUCUGCUGGAUCAUGUGGUCCUGGUGGUAGAGCAGAGGCCACAGCCGCCUGGAUCUGCUGCAGAGCUUUCUCUUGUUCUGUGCCUCACUCAAAACCAGCGGCUCUUUGCAUCUAUCAACAAAUGGUCUGGAGUAACACAUCCACAUGAGGAAUUUGAUGCUUCCCAAAUCCGAAAGGCUCACUAGGCAUUGUGCCUUGUAGUGGGGGUGGGGGUGGGGUGUGACUUGUGACUACGUAUAUGCACACAUGCACUUCCAAUCCUGCCUUUGAGAAAUAGGAUCACCCCUUUCUUUAGGAAGAGGAAAAUGGAUUUGAAGGUUAAAGUAAUUUGCUCUGAGUCACUUAGAUAGCAAAGAGCAGAACGAAAGUUCGAACAUAAGAUACAUUUGGUCUAUUUGAAAGAUUGUGUUCUUUCAGUUACAUCCUACUUUUUUUCCUUGUACCCUCUCCCCUCUCUGGCUCUAUGGAAAAACUAGGCACUGUCGAGUAGCAAAUACAGCAAUGGUUAAGUGCAUUUGUUCACUCAUUUAACAUAUUUUGUUUAUAAUUUACCAUUUGUUAGGCCUACACUUAGCAUUGAGAAUAUAAAUGUUAAAAGAUAUCAUCAUUUAUAUCCUCAAGGAGCUGAAUCUCGUGCAGAGACAAAUAUUCAGACUAGAACUAUGUAUUAGUUAUAUGGAUUGGCAUAAAAAGGAAUGUGGUCCCAGAUUCAGUGGCGGGCAAAGGGAGAAAGGAGGGGGUGUGGGUGUGUGUGCGUCUUGAUUGGAGUAAGGGAGAUCUAUAUUAAGAGACAAAAAAAUGUGUAAAAGCUGCUGGCGUUAUAAGAAUUAUAAGUACCUUGGUAUUGCUAGAAUGUAUGUAUAUAGAGGAAAAAGAUAAAACAACUAGACAGGCAGUGGUGCCAUCAAACGAGCUAUCUGUAUGCAAUAUGGAUUGGAAGGCUUGAAAUAUUUUGAGCACAGGCAUGGGGAGAAAAUGAUAGAAUCUGGACACUAAAAAUAAUACUCUUUGGGCAAUGUGGAGACUGAUU